rnacentral:rRNA from 1 species
GGUAGUUAAGUCAGAAGUGAAAUCCAAUAGCUCAACUAUUGAACUGCUUUUGAAACUGAUUACCUAGAAUAUGGGAGAGGUAGAUGGAAUUUCUGGUGUAGGGGUAAAGUCCGUAGAGAUCAGAAGGAAUACCGAUUGCGAAGGCGAUCUACUGGAACAUUAUUGACGCUGAGACGCGAAAGCGUGGGGAGCAAACAGGAUUAGAUACCCUGGUAGUCCACGCCCUAAACGAUGUACACUAGUUGUUGUGAGGCUCGACCUUGCAGUAAUGCAGUUAACACAUUAAGUGUACCGCCUGGGGAGUACGGUCGCAAGAUUAAGACUCAAAGGAAUAGACGGGGACCCGCACAAGCGGUGGAGCAUGUGGUUUAAUUCGACGAUACACGAAGGACCUUACCUGGACUUGACAUAGUAAGAACUUUCUAGAGAUAGAUUGGUGUCUGCUUGCAGAAACUUAUAUACAGGUGCUGCACGGCUGUCGUCAGCUCGUGUCGUGAGAUGUUGGGUUAAGUCCCGCAACGAGCGCAACCCUCGUCAUUAGUUGCUAACAGUUCGGCUGAGAACUCUAAUGAGACUGCCUACGCAAGUAGGAGGAAGGUGAGGACGACGUCAAGUCAUCAUGGCCCUUACGUCCAGGGCUACACACGUGCUACAAUGGGGUAUACAAAGAGCCGCAAUACGGUGACGUGGAGCAAAUCUCAAAAAUAUCUCCCAGUUCGGAUUGUAGUCUGCAACUCGACUACAUGAAGUUGGAAUCGCUA